UCCGACAUGGUCCAAUGGCUAGGAUUUCGCGCUUUCACCGCGACGGUCGGGGUUCGAUUCCCCGUGUCGGAG
rnacentral:tRNA from 1 species